UACGGGGGGAGCAAGCGUUGUUCGGAUUUACUGGGCGUAAAGGGCGCGUAGGCGGUCAGCACAAGUCAGUUGUGAAAUCUCCGAGCUUAACUCGGAAAGGUCAACUGAAACUGUGCGACUAGAGUGCGGAAGGGGCAACUGGAAUUCUUGGUGUAGCGGUGAAAUGCGUAGAUAUCAAGAGGAACACCUGCGGCGAAGGCGGGUUGCUGGGCCGACACUGACGCUGAUGCGCGAAAGCGUGGGGAGCGAUCCGG
rnacentral:rRNA from 1 species